rnacentral:piRNA from 1 species
CUCAAACCAUGGUGUCAGGACUCCUC